UCGGGAAUUUUGCGCAAUGGACGAAAGUCUGACGCAGCAACGCCGCGUGAGGGAUGACGGCCUUCGGGUUGUAAACCUCUUUUGUCAGGGACGAUGAUGACGGUACCUGACGAAUAAGCCACGGCUAACUACGUGCCAGCAGCCGCGGUAAUACGUAGGUGGCAAGCGUUGUCCGGAUUUACUGGGCGUAAAGAGCGCGCAGGCGGUCGUUCAAGUCGCGUGUGAAAGCCCCCGGCUCAACUGGGGAGGGUCACGCGAUACUGAUCGACUCGAAGGCAGGAGAGGGUAGUGGAAUUCCCGGUGUAGUGGUGAAAUGCGUAGAUAUCGGGAGGAACACCAGUGGCGAAGGCGACUACCUGGCCUGUUCUUGACGCUGAGGCGCGAAAGCUAGGGGAGCAAACGGGAUU
rnacentral:rRNA from 1 species